UUAAAUUGAAGAGUUUGAUCAUGGCUCAGAUUGAACGCUGGCGGCAGGCCUAACACAUGCAAGUCGAACGGUAACAGGAAACAGCUUGCUGU
rnacentral:rRNA from 1 species